GCUCAGAACGAACGCUGGCGGCAUGCCUAAUACAUGCAAGUCGAACGAGCCUUUCGGGGCUAGUGGCGCACGGGUGCGUAACGCGUGGGAAUCUGCCCUUGGGUUCGGAAUAACGUCGGGAAACUGACGCUAAUACCGGAUGAUGACGUAAGUCCAAAGAUUUAUCGCCCAGGGAUGAGCCCGCGUAGGAUUAGCUAGUUGGUGAGGUAAAGGCUCACCAAGGCGACGAUCCUUAGCUGGUCUGAGAGGAUGAUCAGCCACACUGGGACUGAGACACGGCCCAGACUCCUACGGGAGGCAGCAGUAGGGAAUAUUGGACAAUGGGGGCAACCCUGAUCCAGCAAUGCCGCGUGAGUGAUGAAGGCCUUAGGGUUGUAAAGCUCUUUUACCCGGGAUGAUAA
rnacentral:rRNA from 1 species